CUCCCAUUAGAUACAGAAUUCUGACAAGCCUAUGCGCGGAUGUGUGGUUCAAGAAGGGUUAAAGGUAGUUCAGCAUUGCCAUUGCUACAAAUUUUAGAGAGACAAGCCUCGUGCUUAUUGACUGAGAAUAACUGCGAGCCGAAUUCGAAGAUCCAUGGACAUCAGCUGAGCAGAAAACUUCGGUUACAAUUACAUGCUAAACUUCCUUACCUGAGACUCCAGAGAGACUAAAUUCCGAUUAGUAGAUGAGUUUGGAAAUUGAGAGCUUUGCUCAGGUACAUAUGAGCCACUGCAUUGAAUGAAUUAUCUAAAUUGCGAUCAUGAUAACAAAAGCGAGUUAUGAUGCAAUUUAAUAAACAAUACCUCGAAUGUAUGAAUUAAAUCCACAAAAACACUGAGACUAUCGCCGACGAAACUGACGAAAUUCUGAUGAAAUUUACAUCUCCAAAAUUCAAAGCAUUCGCUUUUCGUUUUUCAAGUUCCAACUUGUCGGCACUAGCAGUCAGUGUUGCCAGACUCCUUUAGCAAAAACCAUAAAUAACAACGUAAUUACCAAUUUUUGACAUUUGGCAACAUAACCCCGCGUCCCUAUUGUUUACACUUUUUGUGAUAACAGAAAAAGUGAUAAUACAACAACAUGUGUAUUCAUUCCACCCGAAUUUUCAUUUAAUUUCAAGAUUUUUCAAGCAUUGAUUCAAUUUUUAUUUCAAUAAUUACUCCCUUAUCGCAAAAACAAAUAGCAGGAACCCCUACUUGCUAGUGAUGGAUAAACGGGUAAGGGGACUUUACAGUCCAGAGGCCAUUGAAAGAAGAAGAGUUCUCAAGAAGUGGGGAUUUGUGGCAGGUUUUGCAGCUGUGAUCACACUCUGUAUGUGGCCGAUCGCCAUCUCUCCAAUGUUUUGGCCUGAGAAAUAUCAAGAAAUUCAAAAGAAAAGCCGGGCAGGAUUGGAUAUUGAAAAAAUACAACCUGGAGGUAAGUUGAAACAGCAAAACUGUACAAAAGUAUUUUCUGGAUUUGACGUUACCAAGGAAAUCCUAUUAUUCCUUUGGAAUACUAGAGCGGAAAAUUCUCAAACCAUGUAUCUCAAUAGUAGUGUUUCAAAAUCUCCUCUCCUGCUUAUCUUUUAA
rnacentral:lncRNA from 1 species